rnacentral:RNase_P_RNA from 1 species
ACGUUUGGUUAAAUCGCUGCAACCCAACGUUGAUAGAAGGAAAAGUCCAUGCUACGCACUGCCUGAGAUGGCUGUAGUGUUCGUGCCUAGCCAAUUCAUAAGCUAGGGGAUAUUCUGGCUGUAAGGCUGGUUAACGGCAGGAAAACCUAAGUCCUUUCGGAAUGGUUUGACUACCUUUAAGUGCACGGUGACGCAAGUCCUGGAAAAUAUGAUAGAGUGGGAACGGAUGUAAACCCCACGAGGCGAGAAACCCAAAUAAUGGCUAGGGAAUACUUUUCCAAGAAAUGAAAGACGGGAAAGGACAGGUUUUAUAAACUGUAGAUAGAUGAUUGCCACCGGAUACGAGGCGUGGGCCGUUUGUCGUACACAGGCAACAGAACCAUGGUUUACAGAA